rnacentral:rRNA from 1 species
AGUGAACGCUGGCGGUAGGCCUAACACAUGCAAGUCGAACGGCAGCACAGUAAGAGCUUGCUCUUACGGGUGGCGAGUGGCGGACGGGUGAGGAAUACAUCGGAAUCUACUUUUUCGUGGGGGAUAACGUAGGGAAACUUACGCUAAUACCGCAUACGACCUACGGGUGAAAGCAGGGGAUCUUCGGACCUUGCGCGAUUGAAUGAGCCGAUGUCGGAUUAGCUAGUUGGCGGGGUAAAGGCCCACCAAGGCGACGAUCCGUAGCUGGUCUGAGAGGAUGAUCAGCCACACUGGAACUGAGACAAGGUCCAGACUACUACGGGAGGCAGCAGUGGGGAAUAUUGGACAAUGGGCGCAAGCCUGAUCCAGCCAUACCGCGUGGGUGAAGAAGGCCUUCGGGUUGUAAAGCCCUUUUGUUGGGAAAGAAAAGCAGCAGGUUAAUACCCCGCUGUUCUGACGGUACCCAAAGAAUAAGCACCGGCUAACUUCGUG